rnacentral:rRNA from 1 species
GUCCACGCCGUAAACGAUGGAUACUAGCUGUUGGGAGCAAUUUCAGUGGCUAAGCGAAAGUGAUAAGUAUCCCACCUGGGGAGUACGGGCGCAAGCCUGAAACUCAAAGGAAUUGAUGGGGGCCCCGCACAAGCGGUGGAGCAUGUGGUUUAAUUCGAUGAUACGCGAGGAACCUUACCAAGGCUUAAAUGUAGAUUGACCGGUUUGGAAACAGACUUUUCGCAAGACAAUUUACAAGGUGCUGCAUGGUUGUCGU